rnacentral:rRNA from 1 species
UACGUAGGGGCAAGCGUUGUCCGGAAUCAUUGGGCGUAAAGAGCGUGUAGGCGGCUCGAUAAGUCUGCUGUGAAAGUCCAGGGCUCAACCCUGGAAGCCGGUGGAAACUGUCGGCUAGAGUCCGGAAGAGGCGAGUGGAAUUCCCGGUGUAGCGGUGAAAUGCGCAGAUAUCGGAGGAAUACCGGUGCGAAGGCGGCAUCCUCGGACCCGACAUGACGCUGAACGGC